ensembl:lncRNA
CAACAGCCAGCUGUGCCUGAUGCUAUAGAAGGGACUGCUUGCCCCCUCCUCUUUCUCUUGCUCUUUGCUCUUCUCUGCCCUCUUGCCCUCUUCCUCUUUGUCCCUUCUCUUCCUAUCCCCCCACUUCUUCCCUCCCUGUGCUUAUGGCCGGCCUUUACUUCUCCCCAUUUCUACUCUUCUCUCAUUAAACCGCUCCCCGUGGAGCCAUGUUGGUUUGCUGUGUUCUGUCUGGACGGGAGCCGAGAUUUAAACCCCAACAGGGAGCAUAUCAAACAGAAAACAGCCGACCGCAGGAAGUAGAUCCUAGCCUCCAGGAAGCCGAAUCAGCAAAAGAAUGAUUUCAGCCAUUUGUGGGAUACAACAUUUCUGUCUCUGUGCUCGAUAGGUACCGUCUCACUGAAGACCUUCACUAGCUGUAAAAGCCAGAAGCUGCUUCCCCCUGAGUGUUGUCCCUGCAUGUCUGCCUGCAGGCCAGAAGAGGACACCAGAUCCCAUUACAGAUGGUUGUGAGCCACCAUGUGGUUGCUGGGAAUUGAACUCAGGACCUCUGGAAGAGCAGUCAGUGCUCUUAACCUCUGAGCCAUCUCUCCAGCCCUCACACACAGCUCUUAACACUCCUCAUCCAGCAAACCUGACUGGGAUCUGGACUCAGAGCAAGGUGGAGACUCAGGUGUGACCCAGCUUCACGGAGCCAGACUCACAUCACUGUGUUCUACUGUAGGCCUGGCAGCCAAGGCACCAGUGCUGAAAGUCCAUUCUUCUGAAGGUUCGACACAAAUAGAAUGAAGUCACCCAGCACAAGACUUCCAAAGUGCCUGCAUCCUUUUCCUCAGUGUCCCUCUCUGUUGGCAGCUGUCCAUAGGCUGGCCCCUCUCCUUGUUGACCUCAGCCUGCUCAUUUCUUUUUUUUUUUUUUUUUUUCUUUUCUAUUUUUCGGAGCUGGGGACCGAACCCAGGGCCUUGCGCUUGCUAGGCAAGCGCUCUACCACUGAGCUAAAUCCCCAACCCCUGCUCAUUUCUUCUUGAAGGUUCUCCUUUGCCACCUCUUCUCAUACCCUCGCCGCUUAUCCCGUGACCCCAUCGGCCUUCACAAAAGUUUUCCUUGUCAUCAGUAUUUAAAACUAGUAAAUUUCACAUAAAAAGUCAACCUAUAACCAAAACCAACAAAAGCACUUCCCCCCACCACCACAGAGCAGCAGCAGCCUGGAGCCGCCUAGCAGGCUGCCUUUUUUAAUAUUUUAAUUAUCUGGGGGGCUUGUUUUGAAACAUGGUUUUGCUGUGUCAUCUGGGUUGGCUGGGAACUAACUAACCUAGGCUGUCCUCACUAUCUCCGUUUUCUGAGUGCUGGGAUUGCAAGCCUGGUGCGAAGCCAGCUCUGCUCAGCUGUUCCUUUGAUGAGCAUGGGGAUUCUCCAGUUCUCAGUCCCCUCCCUGGAUGCAGCUUUGCUGACCCCAGACUGAGUCCCUGACUGUCCCCACCCCACCCCUACCGCUCACUAUAUUGCUGAGGAUGACCUCAAACUCCUCCCCAUCCUUCUGCCCCCAGCCCAUCACUACUGUAGUCUUGGCUGACCUGGAACUUGUUAUAGAGACCAGAACUUGCAGUGGUCCUCCUGUCUCUGACCCCAACAUAUGUUUGAACUUCAACUCCCACAGUAAUUGGUGCAACACUUUGGAGUCAGCCGUGGGUUAGAUUCCCUCCUACUCCACCCCAAGGUAAAUGGGAAGACCACAUCUCUUCUCAGGUUCUUUUUGAACAAAUUUCAGGCCUGGGCAUAUCUGCUCACAUUAACUUCCUCAGGUGGAAAUGCCCAGGAAUACUUGCACCCUGAACUCAGUUGCACACCACGCAACAGCCAGGACGAUCUAAGAACAUGCGCUCAUAAAGCAAGAGUCAGCUAAGCAAUGAAAAGCCAAUGCCCUCAGCACUCAGGAAGCAGAGGCAGGUUCCAGACCAGCCAAAGCUACAACAGUGGGGGCUUGGAAAGCUGGAGGAUCAGGAGUUCAAGGUUAUCCUCAGUACAUCGAGUCCCAGGCCAGCUUGGGUUGGGUGACAUCCUGUCACGAAAAAACCAGAACCUAAAAGAAAUGUCUUUUUAAGUUUAAACACAAGAGCUAGCAGAGAGCUCAUUGGUGAUCUACACAGAGAAGUCACACAAGGCAACGGAGUUGUCUAGAAGCCAAGAGAAGAGGCUUCAAAAUAAAACCUUGCCAGGCCCUUGAUCUUGGAUUUCCAGCCUCCAAAGCUGUGUCGCGGGUGUCUGAGCCAUUCCAUUUGUAUUUAUCUUAUUGCAGCAUCCCAGAAAGGCUAAGAUCUCCCUGCACUUCAGAUACCGGUAGCACCCCCACGUUUUCAUACUUACUGCUUCCUGUGGGCUUCUCAGCUUUUCUACCACCCAUUCCUGGCAUUAAACUCACUCUGGAGUAGUUUUUGUACUACUCUCCUUUUUCUUGGUUGGACCUGUUGUGAAUGAUUUUCCUCUGAGCAGAGCCACUGCCAUCGUGGGGAAACUCCAACCUGUGCUCUUUUGCACAAGGAUCAUCCCAACUGAGGUUGUUGACACAGGAGGGUUGGGACAGUCACCAAGGCCCUCACCUUGAGUAUUCAGUCGCUCCCUACCACCUGUUAUAUGCAACCGCACCUUAAUUGUACAUGGCUUCUGGGAGGGGCUGGAGUAUGGGGGGAGGGGGGCUCAUCCCUGCUGGAUAGAGUCUCUCCAGGUACAGCCUGUUGCCCAGAGCAGCAUCCACACCCCUGUGACUCUUCACCUGCGCUCUGUAAGGAAGCACAACAGACUUGCUGGUUUCCCUGGUUUUUCGUUGGGAGCCUUAGAAGGGGCAUGUAUAUGUUCUUUCUCCUUCUGGGAAGAACUUUUAGCAAUAGGACCACUUAUCACUCUUGCAGGCAUUACGUGAGCUGUGAUAUAUUUAAUUAUACUCAUUGGAAAUACAACGGGCUGCAUAAGAAUGAAUUCUAAACCAGGGCUGGGACUGCAGCUCAGUGGUACGGCACUUGGUUGGUAUGUUCAAGAACUC